UACAGAGGGUGCGAGCGUUGUCCGGAAUCACUGGGCGUAAAGGGCGCGUAGGUGGCGCGGCAAGUCAACGGUGAAAGCUCGACGCUCAACGUCGAGUCGGCCGUCGAUACUGCUGGGCUUGAGCACUGUAGAGGCAGAUGGAAUUCCGGGUGUAGCGGUGGAAUGCGUAGAGAUCCGGAAGAACACCGGUGGCGAAGGCGGCCUGCUGGGCAGUGGCUGACGCUGAGGCGCGACAGCGGUGGGGAGCAAACAGG
rnacentral:rRNA from 1 species